UGGGGAAUAUUGGACAAUGGGCGAAAGCCUGAUCCAGCCAUGCCGCGUGUGUGAAGAAGGUCUUCGGAUUGUAAAGCACUUUAAGUUGGGAGGAAGGGCAUUAACCUAAUACGUUAGUGUUUUGACGUUACCGACAGAAUAAGCACCGGCUAACUCUGUGCCAGCAGCCGCGGUAAUACAGAGGGUGCAAGCGUUAAUCGGAAUUACUGGGCGUAAAGCGCGCGUAGGUGGUUUGUUAAGUUGGAUGUGAAAUCCCCGGGCUCAACCUGGGAACUGCAUUCAAAACUGACUGACUAGAGUAUGGUAGAGGGUGGUGGAUUUUCCUGUGUAGCGGUGAAAUGCGUAGAUAUAGGAAGGAACACCAGUGGCGAAGGCGACCACCUGGACUAAUACUGACACUGAGGUGCGAAAGCGUGGGGAGCAAACA
rnacentral:rRNA from 1 species